rnacentral:lncRNA from 1 species
CUGUUAAUACUUUUCCUGACAUAGAAACUGUGUUGUUUUGGAGGAGGAAAACUUCAACCAGCAGAUGUAUUCACUUGUAGAUGCUACAGUGUUAGAAUGGGACCAGAUGAAAUCCAUAAUUUCCAAUAGCAUGUCAAUGUUACAAUCUCUGCAACCCACAUGCACCUUCAAAUGCAACUGUACAACUCCAGGCAGUGAACAUAUCCUUUCUCCUCCUAUUUUCCCCACAACAACCCUCAGAGGUGAGUUAGGUUCAGAGUGACUGGCCCCCCAGUCACCCAGCCAGCUGUCGUGGCUUGGAAGGGACUCAAAUUCAUGGUCUCCUGCUAUCUAGCCUGGUGCCUUAACCACUAGAGCCAACUGGUUUUGCCAGCAGAAGUGUAUUGAAAUCAAGAGCUGAGGGAUUGGAUCUCAUUUAUGAUUACUGUGUGAAUAGGAGAUAGCAACUAGUCCUAGUAUUUAUUUAGUAAACUUUAUGACUGAGAGAUCAUUGCCGAUCUAUAUCAGAGAGAUAAUAGUUACUUGCAUUAUAUGUAAUGCUGCUCUUCAGAGAAAAACAGUGCUCUGACAAGAGGAUCAUGUACAUAAUUGUGGCAACAAAAUUCUCUUUUUUUGUUUAAAAACAGGAAGACAAUGGAAAUAGAUAGUUUGCGAGAGCUGGAAAGAGGAUAUUACGAGGAAGGAAAAUAAUCAUAUUCCAUCAAUUAUGCAUUAGCCUGAUGAGUCCAUCUGUCUUUCUAUAUCUGAACAAAGUUUUUAGAGUGCUAUCAGCAAUGGGUGGCCCAUGUUAAUUCAUAUGCACUAUUCACAUUGUUAAGCAAGCUAUUCUAUAUCUUUAAAAAUGUUUUGCAACAUGUGAUGAUGUUUAUGUAAGGCUACUUUAGUACACAUUUAUGUUUCAUUGACUUUUUGCUGUUUCUUUUACAUAUGUAACAGUAGACAAAGACCAGAAGACAACCAUGGUGAUAGAUCUCUUGGUGCCAAGUGACAGCAACAUCAAGAAAAAGGAGUAUGAGAAACUGGAGAAGUAUCACGGCCUGAAGGAGAAAGUAGAGAAGCUGUGGAAAAUAAAGGCCAGAAUGGUUCCAGUGGUGGUAGGAACACUUGGGUCUGUGACUCCUAAGCUGAAAUAGUGAUUCCAACAGAUCCUAGGAACAACAUCAGAGCUCUCUGUCCAGAAGAGGAUCUGAGAUUGAGGAAGGUUGAAGACCAACCAUUCAGUUGAGAAGGGAAUGUUUUUAUAUAUGCAAUUUCUGUUAUGGCCAUUGUAAAUGUCAAAGGGAAAAAUAAAUGUGCCAAUUUUAAUGCCAAU